UCUCUUCACUAAGCACGAGAUUUCAUUUGAGGUGAUAGUCGCUUAGGCACUGAAGAAACUCGAUUGUCAACAAAAUCACUCCCUGAAAAACAUGCAUAUCAGCUGUUGUCAGACGAGAUCUGUAUCGAUGAUGAUACUUUAGCAACUGGAGAGCUUCUCUCUCAAGCCGAUGGCCCGUUGGACCGAUUUCAAUGUGCAUAGGCAUUAUAUCAGCUCCUUUCAGCAUGCCUGCGGCCAAAGUUUCUCCAGCAAACAAUAACUACAGCAGCCAGUGUCGAGAUUCGAGAAGUUCGAAGGACAGUUCAAGUUCUGAUAGUCAAUCACUACAGG